rnacentral:lncRNA from 1 species
CGCAUAACACAUUGAUUCAUUGUUUACAUCUGCUAAAGGCUAUCUGAGACAUUGACAUUAUUUAUAAUCCUUAAAAAAUUAAAGAAAAAGGUUACACAGAAAACUGAGUAACAUUUCUCUCUAUCAUUGCCUGGAAUAUAUACAAGAUGAUACUGAGUUACACUUAAAUUUGCUAAGAUUAAAGAAAGACAUCGCAGUCCUUUUCUGAUGAUAACAGAGAUAAAAGUUGGUGGAAAUAUUGCAGUUCAUGGAAAGGCUUUGAUCAACCCAGGAAGGAAGAUAAAGAUUUUAAAAGAUAUACAUAUAUUGUUGUGGGGAAUAAAAGAAUUAUAGAAGUAUGGAUUUGCCUCAAGAAUUUCCAAAAGAGACAGGAGACUCCUCCUACCACUGUGAUAUCUGU